rnacentral:lncRNA from 1 species
GCGAAGCAUCUCCACCGCCAAAGGAGAACUGGAAAUCAAGCUGGUGCUUCCGUGGAAGUUCGAUGUUAAUAUCGAGUAUGUCGUCAUGGUUCCGUGGCAGUCUUCAAGCAAGAAUCGGGAUUCGCCGGGGAGCGGCUCGCAGCCCAAGCAGCGGGCUGGCUGCAAGUUCGAGGUGUGCGUGGAGGCCAGCUACGACUUCCUUCACGACGUCACGUGCGAGUACUUCAAGCCCAACAAGACUCGUAG